UGCAGUCGACGGCAGCGCGGGGCAACCUGGCGGCGAGUGGCGAACGGGUGAGUAAUAUAUCGGAACAUAGCCCUAGAGUGGGGGAUAACGUAGCGAAAGUUACGCUAAUACCGCAUACGCACUAAGGUGGAAAGCGGGGGAUCGCAAGACCUCGUGCUCAUGGAGUGGCCGAUAUCUGAUUAGCUAGUUGGUAGGGUAAAAGCCUACCAAGGCGACGAUCAGUAGCUGGUUUGAGAGAACGACCAGCCACACUGGAACUGAGACACGGUCCAGACUCCUACGGGAGGCAGCAGUGGGGAAUUUUGGACAAUGGGGGCAACCCUGAUCCAGCAAUGCCGCGUGAGUGAAGAAGGCCCUCGGGUUGUAAAGCUCUUUUGUCAGGGAAGAAACGGUGUUUCCUAAUACGGAAUGCUAAUGACGGUACCUGAAGAAUAAGCACCGGCUAACUACGUGCCAGCAGCCGCGGUAAUACGUAGGGUGCAAGCGUUAAUCGGAAUUACUGGGCGUAAAGCGUGCGCAGGCGGUUUUAUAAGUCUGAUGUGAAAUCCCCGGGCUCAACCUGGGAACUGCAUUGGAGACUGUA
rnacentral:rRNA from 1 species